ensembl:lncRNA
AUGAUAUGGAAACAACCGCGUCUACAGCACAGCAUGCAUUUGGAGCGGGCCCUCGUGGGCCCAACCCAGCCCAUGGACCUCAACCGGGCCAGGGCCCCCGACACCCAGGUCAUCCUGGACCUUACGGAGUUCCACGUCCCGAGGACCAGCCCCCACACCAGCAACACCAGCAGCCCCAUCACCACAUCCAGCACAGCAGACCAUUCUUCUACAUACACCCUUCCCAGCCAUUCCCUUCCCAGCCAUUCCCUUCCCAGCCAUUCCCUUCCCAGCCAUUCCCUUCCCANNNNNNNNNNAUUCCCUUCCCAGCCAUUCCCUUCCCAGCCAUUCCCUUCCCAGCCAUUCCCUUCCCAGCCAUUCCCUUCCCAGCCAUUCCCUUCCCAGCCAUUCCCUUCCCAGCUUUACCCCUCUGCUCUACCCUAUCAGUGGCCCAUGCCAUACAACCCUUACUGCGGCUUCCCUGGGAUGGGAGGUUAUGGUAUGAUGAUACCGAGUCCCUUCCAGCCCAGUCCCUACAUGGAGCCUCCGGGUUACAUCCUGCCACACUCUCAGCUCCACCUGGCGGACUACAGGCGUAUGAUCAACCCCCACUACCACACUACCCACUACCCACAGACCAUGGCUUACCAUGCACGCAGGUUCCGCUACCAGCACAAUGCCCCAGCCACCAGCAGGGAGAUGAUCAACUCUGAGGUACAGACUGAGCCCACAUUAGGAGCAGCACGCUCUGACCCCAAACUCUCUAACGCUGACUCGUCUAUGAAAAGUAAUGUCCAAACCAACUCUGAAUCUGGCAGCGACACCAGUUGCACAGCUGCCCAGUCACUAUCCCCAGCCUCUGUGCAGGAGGUGAUGUCUAAAUCACCAGCUUACCAGGAUGUUGUAUUGGCACCCACCCCCAACAACACUCCUAUUUCCACCAGGUCUGCUGCACCCCAGAAGGGUAGCUUUGUGUUCCAGACAGAGGUGGAGGAAUUGAGGCUGGAGUGCCGCAGCACGCCCACAGGGUUAAAUAUCCUCCACUCCCAUGAGACAUCUGAACUGUGCACCGCCCACAGCGUGUCUGCGACCGAUGAAGACUUGGUACAGCUCUGCUCUUCCUCCUCCCUCCACCACCACAAGGUCUCACAGGGCAGGAUGCUCCAUGGCCAGGAGGGGAUGGGUUUGGUUGGGGAGGAGGGGGAUCAGUGUCUCCAGCAAGCCUGCACGGAUAUACUUCUAAUGGAUGGGGCAUGCUCGAGUGGCGGACCAGAUAACUUCCUUGCUCUUGACGAUUGCGACUCAUUCAUCUCGAAAACACUGGCCGAACGACCAGGGAAUUCUGAAUCCGAUAUGGACUAUAGAGUGGUGGUCCAAAGCCACACCGCAGAUGGUCCUCAAUUUACAAGUGAUGACGGAGAACUGAGCUCCAAGAGUGUCUAUUUUAAGAUCCUCCACCUGCCCUUUGACAUGCAGUACUUAGAAGAGCUGAGGAAGAUUGAGGCGUCUGUGUGGUCGGCGUCUCUGGCACCGUACGUCCCCUCAGCAGAGUUUAUGAUCCAGCAGGGCCUGAUGGAGCCACACAGGGAGGCACUGAGCCCUGUGGUCAUGGAGGAAGUCCCCAUGGUGGAGGAAGUCCCCACGGCAGAGGUGGUCCCCAUGGUGGAGGUUGAGGUCCCUGGGGCGGAGAAGGUCCCCACGGCUGAGGUGGUCUCUCUAGUGGAGGGAAUCCCCAUUGCGGAGAGCCCUUCGAAUGAAAAUGUUUUAUUGGCAGAGAUGGUCCUCAAUGUGAUGGAGGUACCUGCAAUAUCCAGUCCUAACAAAACAGACAAUGCGCCCAUGUCUCCAGAGACCAGUCAAAAGAGGGGUGCGGUGAGUGACCUUGAUCAUCAGGAUACCUCCUUUGGGGGGUUACCCACAUACCGUCCCUCAACUAGCUGGCUGGGCGACUUUGGCAACGUCUACUAUCACAGCAAGAUGCCUUCUGAUGUUGAGGAGCAGCGCAAGAUCCUCAGAGGCAGCCCACUUAAGGUGUCUAGCCCCAAACGGAAACCAAACCAUGACCAAGAGCCUAAAGAUCCUCAUUGUGUUUCAGUCACUACAACCGCUCCACUCAGGCUUAAGGGAGAGGGAUGCAGACCCGGAGACAAGGUUGACAGGAGGAGCUACUCUGAUCAAGAGUUCUGUGCUAACCGGACCUUCAAUGUGAACACGGUGACCUCUGGUGGCCACAAAAGGGAGCGCAUCUGUGCCAGAUGUUUGACGACAAAAUGCAGAGUAAACAAGAGACCCGGCAGUCCAGGGCCAGGCCUGGAUGCUCCGAUUGUAAAACGACAAGGGGUCCCCGUUCCACCAUGGGAGGAAUAUAUCCUAGCCCAAACUUGUGCAGCCUGCAAAUGCCUUGCCCGGAGGCGGCUAACGAGGAAAGGUUCCGGUUCAGAUGUUCCCAGCGGACCACAAAACGAAGAGACGGAGGGUGAGACCUCUGAGAACAGUUCUUGUCGGGCAGGGCCGGGGCCCAAACUGAGGGACCCCAGGAGGCCUCAGUCCUCCAUGAAGCGCCACUCUGAGAAGUGUCCCAUGGGUCCACACUCAAAACUGAGGGAGAAGAACUGUUCCUGUGAAGAGCCCCAUCGGCCCCCCGCUGCUGUGUUGGGGGGGCCGCGCCGCCAUCCCCAUGGUGAUGUCACCAGGGAGCGAAAUGAGGAGAACCUUGGCGUGUGCGUCUCUGUCCCACUUCAGGACAAAUGGAGAAACCAACACCAGGACCAAUGCUACCUCGCGGCACAGAAAUCUCAACAAGAGAAGUUGUGGAAAGCGGCUUUGUCCAACCCUGACAACACUGAAAGUAAUAUUAAGCUCGGACCCAGAGACUUGAUUAAACAGAAGAAACACAUUUCUCAAUCACAAGGACUUCACAGAAAAGACACAAGAUGCUAA